GGUCUCGUUUAGUCCUCUGUGUAUUUCUACCCCCCUGUUCCUCUGUCCUUUGUCGCUUCGUCUCUCUGUUCAUCCUGUCCGAGU